GGAGGAUCCAAGCGUUAUCCGGAAUCAUUGGGUUUAAAGGGUCCGUAGGUUGAUAAUUAAGUCAGAGGUGAAAUCUUGCAGCUCAACUGUAAAAUUGCCUUUGAUACUGGUUAUCUUGAGUUAUUAUGAAGUAGUUAGAAUAUGUAGUGUAGCGGUGAAAUGCAUAGAUAUUACAUAGAAUACCAAUUGCGAAGGCAGAUUACUAAUAAUCAACUGACACUGAUGGACGAAAGCGUGGGGAGCGAACAGAAUUAGAUACCCUCGUAGUCCAUGCCGUAAACGAUGUGUGUUAGACGUUGGAAAUUUAUUUUCAGUGUCGCAGGGAAACCGAUAAACACACCGCCUGGGGAGUACGACCGCAAGGUUAAAACUCAAAUGAAUUGACGGGGGACCCGCACAAGUAGUGGAGCAUGUGGUUUAAUUCGAUGAUACGCGAGGAACCUUACCAGGGCUUAAAUGUAAGUUGCAUUAGUUAGAGAUAACUAUUUCUUCGGACCACUUACAAGGUGCUGCAUGGUU
rnacentral:rRNA from 1 species